rnacentral:tRNA from 1 species
UUCCCUGUAGCUCAGUUGGUAGAGCGUGGUGUUUGCAACGCCAGGGUUGUGGGUUCGAUUCCCACGGGGGGGG